rnacentral:rRNA from 1 species
AGAGCGAACGCUGGCGGCAUGCCUAAUACAUGCAAGUCGAACGAACUCUUCGGAGUUAGUGGCGCACGGGUGCGUAACGCGUGGGAAUCUGCCCUUGGGUUCGGAAUAACAGUUGGAAACGACUGCUAAUACCGGAUGAUGACGAAAGUCA